UUUGCUUCGUCUUAGCGCUGCAGGCUGUGCCGUAUCUCUUCACAUCUCUCCGCCUCCACCUUCAUCUAUGUAACACUUCAGUUAUGUAUACAUUAGUCCAAGCGUUACGUCUUUUGCUCAGCUACUCCCACUCUCUCGAAAUAAAUCAGCAUUAACAUCCUCCAACGUAACCGACUGAAGCUUCGCUAAUAAAUCUCUUCGUUGCUUGAGAUGAAUAGUCCCACCGAACAAAAUCCCAUAAGUCAUUCUCUAAGAAGAAAUAGGAGCUACUUCAUUGAAUCAUGCAGCACUAACAAGGGGAAUCGAGUUGCUAAAAAAUUGCUGUCCAAAGCUUGAUGUUUUUGAUGGUGCCUUGCUGCUGAUAUUGGAGAUCUUGAGUUAAUCAACUGUUUACUUAAAGCUGGAGGUGAUCUUAAUCAGAAAGACGAGAUUGGACAUUUGUUGGAGUUCUCGCUCACAUGGAAUCAAAUAAGAACAAUAGUGAAACUCAAGAAAGUCAAAAUCUGGAGAGACGGUGAUGCCUUCAGGUUUGUUUGAAACCCUCAUGAUGUUUUUUAUCAUUUUUUUUCAGUAUAAUUGAAGUGUU